CAUAUGCGAGUGUUCAUGGGAACAGCCAUGCCUGGAUAAACCAGAUAAACUGAGGAAUCAAAAGGCAUAUUCAGACCAAGACUAAAGAGAACCUUCUUCACCUCCUCCAUACUUCUUCAAUAAGACCACUCAGGACACCUUAACUGCCUUGCUGCCUUUCUGGAAGAGAACAAUCCAAUAAUGAGAACAUCCUUGAGGAUCACAGAGUCCAGAGUCCCUAGAGAGAGGGAGAGCAAUCAUGUCUUCUAGACGGCAAGUUACUUACACAUAUGUCUAGACAGAGUCGAGCUGGAGUGCAAUGGCAGGAUCUCAGCUGACUGCAACCUCCGCCUCCCGGG
rnacentral:lncRNA from 10 species